UCAACUCCAAUCAUUCACCUUCACACAUCAUCUCAUUCUGCGCACAUCGCGAGGAAUUUUAGAUGCUUUGUAAAGGUGGAAGAUUCGUGUGAUCGAGUGUGAAUUUUUAGUAUAUGAAGAUGGAGGAUGCAGAAUCCCCAAUUGUCGAGCAGAUUCCACACCUGCAAGCACGAGAGAGGGAGUAAGGAUGAGAUGCGACGACAACGAUAUCAAAGCUUUCUGGCCUUCUCAUCGGAAGAAGACGGUCACAAAGCAAACACUAGGAUCCACAUGAUGCAUCAGAAGGAGAGAAACACCUUGUGCUGAUGAGCCCAAAGGCCCUUGACUUAUGCAUUCAAAGCGCUUGAUAUAUUGCCCCACAUAGCUCAAAGAGAGGAACAGCACCAACCUCGGAGCUAGCCAAAACCACGGCUUGCAACAAGGUGCAGCUGAAGAGGAUAGGGUACCCAGUCCAACUGACGAACCUGCUCAAGAAAACCAAGGAAUCGUUAGUGUUGUGUGAUGCUGAUAUCGGCGUCGUCAUCUUCUCAAUGCAGGGUCAAAUCUAUGAACUAGCCACAUCCGGGCACUUAAUCUAUUCAGAACAUUGAUGACAUGUUUCACAAUCAUUCAAGGACAAUGGAAGGUUUGAUUGGGAGGUACAAGGUGGUGUACUUGAGAAGUUCAUCCAACUGCAGGUGGUGAGACAAACUGACUCUUUGGGAACCUCAAUUACAAGAGAUAUUCAAGUUGAAGCAUGAGAUUCUUUUUCUGCACAAGAGUUACAAGAUAAUUACAAAGUCAGAUGCAUCGGUACACAUCAUAUACAGGUACAUUUCUAUGUUGUUAUUUAUAAAUAUACUUGUAUUGCUAUACAAAUCUAGAACACAUCCGAAAAGGCUGUGAUCAUUUGCAAAUAAUUCUUUUUUACUAUUCUCUAAAAGAAAGGAUAUACAAAUUAAUGUCUUGGAAUCAUUAACUACAUUUUCUUUCUUUUUUCAGAACUGUGUUCCUAUCUAAUUUAUUAUACUGACAGUCCAGGUAAUUAUCAUUACCCACAAAUUCAGUUUCUGCAUUGAGAGUAUUCAAUUAGUUUGAUAAGUUCACCAUGCAUUAGCUUGAGUUUUUCUUUUCUUUUCCCUUUGAACUGUCAUACAGAAAUCAUCAAGGUUCAUUUUGCGCAAUUGAAUAGAACAAUAUUUAUUUCGUAUGUGUGUCAAAAUAAGAACUGCAUUAUUAAUAUUCUCUUUUACAAGUACUUUGAGUUGUGCAGCUUGUCAGCCAAGUUCUUGUUUCUUAUAAAAAGGAUUAUUUCUUUUUUUGCUCAAGGACAAUCAAUGUAUUAUUCAUACAGGCACAUAUAAUGCAGUUCAUGGUUAACAGAAGAGUGACAGCUAGAUUUCCAUUUAAUGAAACAGAGUUUGGUCUCCCUAUACUUGUAGUGUUUGAUGAUGAGUCCCUACAGAAUUAUUAUCUUCAUCUGAAUGUUGUAUUUCUUUUCUUCUUUAUGCAUGCUUCCAAUACAUAUUUCUGAUUUUUUUUUUUUGCCUCUCAAAAAAGCUAUCUGUAAGCACAUCAAUUAAUCUAAAAAUAUGUACACAGUCGCCAUGACAUUUUGCAUCUAUAAUUGAAGGAUAUGUUUUAUGACAGAUACAUUGGAGGGGAACUGCUGAAUGUAUGAAACCGGAUGAAAUGCAUAUAUCUUGGAAAGGCAUCUCAACAUGAAUGUGUCAUAUCCAUGAUGCAAAGGUCACUUUGGAAAAGAUUUGAUUUGUCAUAGUUGCAUGUCUUCCCUACUCUUCAUCUCACAACUUGUGGGUGAGUAUUUGGUUGCUCUAGUAUACUGUGUAAAGAAAUGUUACUUCUGUUAGGAUAUAUGAGAUGGUUUAAUUGCUCAUAACCUAUCAGCUUAAAACUUGCCAUUUUUUCUUUUCAGAAUUUUACAUAUUUGUAUUUUCUCUAAAGAAUGUAGAGAGUAGAAACUACAUCAUGUGUACACAGACCAAACCAUGCAAAAUUUGAUGUUAUUAUUAUUAUUAUUAUUUUUAUUUUGCUGUCCUUUGAUGAGCUACAGUUGGUAUGGCUUCCUGAAAAUUCUCAUCUUUGAUUCUUUCUAUGAUGGUGCCUUCUUUGGCAGGAUUCCUUCUGAUCCUUAGAUCCUCCACAUCUCACUUUCAUCGUUCAAUAUAAUUUUAUUAAUUAUUACUAAAUAUGAUCCUCAGUAGCCAAUUUGAGUUUAAAAUCAUAAAAAUAUUCUAAA